AUCCUGCAGGCAACAUGGAGAUGCUGUGGAUCCUUCUCUGUCUAAUGGCAGCUCCCCUGGGUGCGCUGUCUGAUCCGACACUUCGGGAGUCAGGACCAAGCCUGGUGAAGCCUGGAGAGACCCUGUCCCUCACCUGCACUGUCAC